rnacentral:rRNA from 1 species
GUCAGAGCCAUAUCUCCCAGCUGUUCUGGACAGGUUUCCUGCUGAAGCUAAGCAGGGUUGAGUCUGGUCAGUACCUGUAUGGGAGACUUCCUGGGGAAAACAGGUUGCUGCUGUAG